GUGGAGAGGAGAGGAGAGGAGAGAAGCCGGCGUCCGGGAUCUGGAUGUCUUUGGGGGAAGCGGUGGCGGAGUCACGAUUCACGAAUGUAACGCAAACUCGUCAUCACUCAGCCGACGACUAGCAAAUCUAAUUAAUAGCCUCAUCAUUGCAUUUCUUCCCAUCACUUACACACACACAUAUAUAUAUACAUAUAUAUACUCACGCACACCCACACACACCCACCCAAACACAUGCGUCGAGGACCACUUCCCAAAGCGAAAGCGGUGAUUCCUCGACUCUGACAGCCUGUCUUCUAACACCAUUCUUCUUUCUCCCUCGCUCUCUCUGUGACCUCCUUCCUCUUAUCGGAUUCUUCGCCGGUUCUCAUGGCUUCCGUCAUCGAAUCUGUCUGGCUGUAUCUGAUUACUCAUUUCAAUGAUUUCCAACUGGCGUCCCUUGGGAGUUUCUUUCUGCAUGAAAGUGUCUUUUUCUUGUCAGGAUUACCUUUUAUAUUCCUUGAAAGAGCAGGCUGGCUCAGCAAGUACAAAAUCCAGACAAAAAAUAACUCCCUUUCAGCUCAGGAGAGAUGUAUAACUCGCCUACUGCUGUAUCAUUUUUGUGUCAAUCUACCAGUUAUGAUCAUUUCCUAUCCUGUCUUCAGAUUCAUGGGCAUGAAAAGUAGUCUCCCAUUGCCAUCCUGGAGAGUAGUUUUGACACAGAUCUUAUUCUACUUCAUUCUUGAGGAUUUUGUAUUCUAUUGGGGACACAGAAUUUUACAUACAAAAUGGCUUUACAAGCAUGUCCACAGUGUUCAUCACGAAUAUGCAACACCAUUUGGAUUGACAUCUGAAUAUGCUCACCCAGCUGAGAUCUUGUUCCUUGGAUUUGCUACUAUUGUUGGUCCUGCCAUCACUGGGCCCCAUCUGGUAACUCUCUGGUUAUGGAUGGUACUUAGAGUUCUGGAGACAGUUGAGGCGCACUGUGGUUAUCAUUUCCCCUGGAGCCUCUCAAACUUCUUGCCUUUAUAUGGAGGUGCUGAUUUCCAUGACUAUCAUCACCGGUUGCUUUACACAAAGUCUGGCAACUAUUCUUCAACUUUUGUUUACAUGGACUGUAUUGUAUGAGUUCUUGGCUUCUGUCUAUUGAGGUCAGUUGACAUGCGAGAACAAAAAAGAGUUUAUGCAGAUACGAAUACAAGCACAUGAAGAUGAGUAAUAAGAUAUUUGGUACCGAUAAAGGAUACAGAAAAUUGAAGGCACUGAAGAGAACUGUCAAUGAAACUGAGGGCGAACAAAUACAGAAGAACCGUUAAAAGGAGGAUGCUUUGUUUGUCUGCCUGCUCUAAAUCUGAGACUUGCAGGAUGGUUUCUUAUUCGAGGGCAUCUUGGGAAAGCUGUAAUUCGUUACUGUUCUUCGUCUUUCAUGUUACCAUCCUCUAGGUUUGUGCAUACCAGUUUCUGUAAUGUGGACUUUGUUUGAAGCUCCUUUGAAUGGCUUGGAGCCCAUUUUGCAUGAAUGAAGCUGCUUUCUUCUUUUCA